CUUUUGUAUUCAAUGCUGUAUUUCAGUAAUGCAUAUUCAAUUUUGUAACUUCAGUAUAAAUACAUACCUACAGUAUAAAAUGAUACAAACAUACCUAACUUACUUGACAAUAUAAAUUUUGGGAAACUGAGUUAUUUCAGGGUAGCUUUGAAUUAACAUGCUAUGCUAAAAAUAGCAAUUCUUUCCAAAAAGUGAAAUCUAAAAAGCUCGACUGAAAAUCUUGACUAGCAGAAAGAUCAAAAGUGCCAAUUACUGGAUCAAAACCACUAACAGGUACAUUGAUUGAUGUGGAUGUACUUCAAGAAUUACUGAAUAAGCUGAAUUUAGAAACUGAGAACCACUGCUGGAUAAACUAAAAUGGUUUUUGCAUAGCAUAGGCUACUUAUAUUCUCAUACUUUAAUCCUGUAUUUGUCUUUUACAGUUAAAUUAAAAGAAAAACAAGACACCCAUAAGUAUAUACAUUCAGAAAAGGAGACCUCCCUGAUGAAAUACUUAAGACUGGAUUAGACAAAUGUCUCCUAGACCACAUUAUUUGCUACUUGGGCAGGGCUGGAGAUUGACUUCAUGAACUUCAUGGCUUUCCUUUGUGCAAUAAAGCUCUUAGUGUGAAUAUUGAAUUACUCCAUGAAUUUACAAGGAUGUAAUCUAAGCAGAGAAGCAUGAUACAGAACAAGAUGACAGUUUAAGAAGUCUGAAAUAUUUCUUUGGCAUAUCAGUGAUGGAUCUCCAUCGUAUUGCUUCUCACUUACAUCUGUCUGGAGGUUCCAGACGAUAAAAUGCAUGCUCUUUGCCUUUUUCCUCCACUAGCUGAGUGUUGCCCAGUCUGUAAAAGUGAUUAGUGAUUAGAUUACACAUACCCAGAUGUACUGGAACUCGUCUACUGGAGAUUCAGCACUCAAUCUGAAGACAAGGAGACGAGAGUCUUUUCCUGAAGAUGGAGAAAGUCAGAAAACAGCAAAUUAGAAAAAGACAGUGGUGGUUUGAAAUUAAUACUUCCAAAGAGAUGAAUCACCUAACAGACAGCAUUGCCAUAAAAGCAAAGUUAAACAAUUUUGCUUCUCUGAGUGUAAGCAGCAAUGUGACAGGAAGACUGCUUGUGAACUCUAUCUAGACUCUACAGUUCCAGUAAGCAACCCUUUCAGUUCACUAGCAGAGUUUCCCAUCAGAUGGUGCUGUGGCAAUAAAUAAUAGGAGCCUCAAAACAGUGAAACCUACACUGCUAGGAGACGGUGAAAAUACGACAGAUACAAACUAAAGGCAAGAGAAGAAGGGUUAACUUUAAAUUCUGGAACCAUCCAGCCUAGCAGCUGAUACCUGGAUCCUUAAUAGAGUCUGAAAACCUUUUGGAUGCGGACUGGUUUUGCUUAUCAGUUCUUCAAAGUUAGGCAAGUUAGGUUCAAGGCAUAUUCCAACUGCAAAAAUAGCACAGCAUCCACCACCACAGCUAAAUGUUUUUUUCCACAAAGAUAGACAUGAGUGGAAUACACAACUCUGAAAUUUAAAAUAAAUAAAUAAAUAAAUGAUACACUACUAUUUGCAGUUGGAAA